UCACGUAUAUAUUGUGUUUUCAAUCGAGUUGCGACGUCAAGAGGUUAAACUCAGCCCACUUUUUUUCACGCUAACAUUAAAUUUUAGUGCAUUUUGAAUUUUUACGUGAAAAAAAGUGGGCGGAGUUUGACCUCUUGACGUCGCAACUCGAUUGAAAACACAAUAUUCAACGUGA
rnacentral:pre_miRNA from 1 species